rnacentral:rRNA from 1 species
GACGAACGCUAGCGGCAGGCCUAAUACAUGCAAGUCGAACGGUAAGGUCUCUUCGGAGAUACACGAGUGGCGCACGGGUGCGUAACGCGUAUACAACCUACCCUUUAGAGGAGAAUAACUUCUGGAAACGGGAGCUAAUACUCCAUAUACACUUAGUAUCGCAUGGUACAGAGUGGAAAUGCUCCGGCGCUAAGGGAUGGGUAUGCGUAACAUUAGCUAGUUGGUGAGGUAACGGCUCACCAAGGCAACGAUGUUUAGCUGGUCUGAGAGGAUGAUCAGCCACACGGGCACUGAGACACGGGCCCGACUCCUACGGGAGGCAGCAGUAAGGAAUAUUGGUCAAUGGGGGCAACCCUGAACCAGCCAUGCCGCGUGCAGGAAGACGGCCCUCUGGGUUGUAAACUGCUUUUAUUUGGGGCUAACUAUGUUCUAUACGGACAUUUGCAGGUACCAUUUGAAUAAGCACCGGCUAACUACG